GGGACACGUGGUAUCCUGUCUGAAUAUGGGGGGACCAUCCUCCAAGGCUAAAUACUCCUGACUGACCGAUAGUGAACCAGUACCGUGAGGGAAAGGCGAAAAGAACCCCGGCGAGGGGAGUGAAAAAGAACCUGAAACCGUGUACGUACAAGCAGUGGGAGCCUCUUAAUGGGGUGACUGCGUACCUUUUGUAUAAUGGGUCAGCGACUUAUAUUCUGUAGCAAGGUUAACCGAAUAGGGGAGCCGAAGGGAAACCGAGUCUUAACUGGGCGUUAAGUUGCAGGGUAUAGACCCGAAACCCGGUGAUCUAGCCAUGGGCAGGUUGAAGGUUGGGUAACACUAACUGGAGGACCGAACCGACUAAUGUUGAAAAAUUAGCGGAUGACUUGUGGCUGGGGGUGAAAGGCCAAUCAAACCGGGAGAUAGCUGGUUCUCCCCGAAAGCUAUUUAGGUAGCGCCUCGUGAAUUCAUCUCCGGGGGUAGAGCACUGUUUCGGCAAGGGGGUCAUCCCGACUUACCAACCCGAUGCAAACUGCGAAUACCGGAGAAUGUUAUCACGGGAGACACACGGCGGGUGCUAACGUCCGUCGUGAAGAGGGAAACAACCCAGACCGCCAGCUAAGGUCCCAAAGUCAUGGUUAAGUGGGAAACGAUGUGGGAAGGCCCAGACAGCCAGGAUGUUGGCUUAGAAGCAGCCAUCAUUUAAAGAAAGCGUAAUAGCUCACUGGUCGAGUCGGCCUGCGCGGAAGAUGUAACGGGGCUAAACCAUGCACCGAAGCUGCGGCAGCGACACUAUGUGUUGUUGGGUAGGGGAGCGUUCUGUAAGCCUGUGAAGGUGUACUGUGAGGUAUGCUGGAGGUAUCAGAAGUGCGAAUGCUGACAUAAGUAACGAUAAAGCGGGUGAAAAGCCCGCUCGCCGGAAGACCAAGGGUUCCUGUCCAACGUUAAUCGGGGCAGGGUGAGUCGACCCCUAAGGCGAGGCCGAAAGGCGUAGUCGAUGGGAAACAGGUUAAUAUUCCUGUACUUGGUGUUACUGCGAAGGGGGGACGGAGAAGGCUAUGUUGGCCGGGCGACGGUUGUCCCGGUUUAAGCGUGUAGGCUGGUUUUCCAGGCAAAUCCGGAAAAUCAAGGCUGAGGCGUGAUGACGAGGCACUACGGUGCUGAAGCGACAAAUGCCCUGCUUCCAGGAAAAGCCUCUAAGCAUCAGGUAACAUCAAAUCGUACCCCAAACCGACACAGGUGGUCAGGUAGAGAAUACCAAGGCGCUUGAGAGAACUCGGGUGAAGGAACUAGGCAAAAUGGUGCCGUAACUUCGGGA
rnacentral:rRNA from 1 species